rnacentral:rRNA from 1 species
AUCAACCUGCCCUUCAGAGGGGACACCAGUUGAAACCGACUGUUAAUACCGCAUACGAUCUAACCUUGGCAUCGAGGAUGGAUGAAAGGUGGCCUCUAUUUAUGAGCUAUCACUGAAGGAGGGGAUUGCGUCUGAUUAGCUAGUUGGAGGGGUAACGGCCCACCAAGGCGAUGAUCAGUAGCCGGUCUGAGAGGAUGAACGGCCACAUUGGGACUGAGACACGGCCCAGACUCCUACGGGAGGCAGCAGUGGGGAAUCUUCCGCAAUGGACGAAAGUCUGACGGAGCAACGCCGCGUGAGUGAUGACGGCCUUCGGGUUGUAAAGCUCUGUUAAUCGGGACGAAAGGCCUUCUUGCGAAUAGUGAGAAGGAUUGACGGUACCGGAAUAGAAAGCCACGG